rnacentral:lncRNA from 1 species
CUUGGACAAAGGUGGUCUAUUAACAAAAUAGUAGAUACCACAUAACUAUGGAGUCUAAAGUAAGAUGCUAAAGCAUUUCAAUAACAUUAGAAGAGGACGGGCCUCAAGCCAGUGCUGCCAGAAUUUGGUGAUCACCUCCUCCAACCACAUAAAAGAUUGAGGUUGAAAAAUAAUCAGAAGAGAAAACUUCUUUGGAAAAAGUUGUUGAGUAUUUUACUUCUCCUCAGAUGAAGCAUCUAGAUCCAAAAUGCUGGUUGUCUUUCAUCUAAAACAGUCUCAGAGACCAAUUCUACCUGGUUGGCUGUCUGUGACUCACUCCGCUCAAGUUCACAGGAUUCUGAUUAAUUAGCAGGGCAAGUUUCUACCCUGCAUUAUUUAUCACACAAUCUCCAGUUUCAAGACUUCCAGUAUCAACUCUAUGGGCCAAACAAUACAACAUACAGUGACUUGUAAAGAGUUCUUUUCAAAUAAACUCAGCUUCAAAACAACCAACACCCACGCUAGUCUGCAAUGGGUAGUCCUCUUCUGCCCAGACACGUCAUCAAACAGUACAGUGAUGAUAUAAGCCAGAGUUAACAACCCAAUAGCUUGAUUUCCCUGGAGAUAAAGAGAAAGUAUCUUUGUGUGACUUGGAUUUUCCCGAGAAUAUUUAGGAACCUAGACAAGUUUUCAAACAUGACUAGGACCAGACUGCCUCUUUGCUUAUGAAUGUCCCUCUCCUGGUUGAGGAGACUGCUUAAUGGCGCAGGCUGGAGAUCAUACCCAGCUCUACACUAACUCAGCAACUCAAAAGCCAAGCAAGAGGAAUCCUGGGCCGAUCUCUCCUCACUCCAUGCAAAUCUGCUUUGGCUCAGCUGGGUGUCCAGUGGGCUGAGUCAUGUAAUUACACCAUGGGAAACAGAAGACGGGACUGCGCUUACAUGCUACCAACUGAUCCCAUAAGCUCCAUUAUUUAUUUUAAUAAAACAUGGUUGUGCUUG